rnacentral:lncRNA from 1 species
GGUGCUGGCGGGGCGCGGGCGGGGCAGCGCACAGGCCGGCCCUCUCGCGGGACUCAGUUUCCCCGUCUGCGCGCCCCACAUAUUCGCUUUCCGCAGGUUCUCUCGCUGAGAUUCGCGUCCUUCAAACUAAUGGAACUUUGCAAGGGGGCCCUGCGGCGGCUUCGCGUGGGAGCGCCGGGGAAAGUUCCUGCAAAUCGCCGGACUGGGGGCCCGCCCGGGAAGCUCGGACUGGGCCGGGCAGGGACUGCAGGGGCCUCUGCGCAGACCCGGGGCGUUGCGGCACCGCGGACCCCGGUCACGCGCUGGUUCUGCCCCCGGUACCCCGCACGCGGGACCCUGACCGCGGGGCCUCUGCGGCCGGACGAAGGCAGCGUCCGCGGAGCUGGCAGAAAGCCCGCGCCCAGACCCACAGUGAAGUGAUAAAAGCAGAGAGCAGAAAGGAGAAAACUGAGGGCCAGAAAGGGUGACUCCCCUGAGUGUCAUGCCACAAGUUGAGUGCUGGAGCCAGGACACCUUCCAAACCGGCUGUGCCUGCCUGCAAGCCCCAUCCUCCUCCAUCCCCCUGAGCAGCCAGACUGCAGAGGGAAUGAGCGGACCGAAAACAGUGUGGCCGCAACUUCCCCACUGCUUUGCGGGAGGUGGAGGGAGUUUCUAGGCUCUUUCCCUGUUGGGGAAUUAAGUAGCUGGGGAUCCCACUGAGUCUCCACCACCCUCUCACCCAUUUUCCACCCCUCCCCCACCACAUAUACAUUCUGCUCCCCCAGUGCCAAAUAACUUGCAUUUUCUGGAACACACCUGUCUGCUUACGGUCUCUGUGCCUUUCUUUGCCCACAUCUCCCCUCUUCUUGAAACACCCCUCCUCCCCUCCAGCGUGGGCUCAUGUGACCUAGAGAAGCACGUGGGAGCCCUGUCAUCUGGGGGACUUGGGUUCAAAUCCCACUUCUGGUCCUUAAGUCUGUGACUCUGGGCCUUUGUUUAAUAACUGGAGGAGUUUCAUUAGGAAAAUGGCAGUGACCACAUAUGUCCCUGGAGUGACUGAUGUGCCACCCACAAGCUUCUAUUUGGUCAGUGCUGGGUCCCAUCGUCCCAUCUAGCAUGCUCCUCUUCCAUCCUCGUGCCCCCACUCAGUGCCAUUGUCUCUGCCUCUCACCCUCUGUGCUGCUAUUCCUGCCCUCAUCACCUCCUCCCUAGGGCAGAGGCCCCGUCUUCUUUACCAUGCCCCAGUGCCAGCACAGUGCUUUGGCAAGUUAUUCAGCACUGGGGGAGUAGAGUGUAUGUGUGGUGGGGGAGGGGGUGGAGAAUGGGUAAGAGGGUGAUGGAGACUCAGGGGGACCCCCAGCUACUUAAUACCCCUGAGGAAGUGUCGGCCGAAGUGGACCCACUCCUGUGACAGUUCACAGCCUAGAAGAGGCGUCUGUAACCACGGUGACCAGUAAGUGCCAGCCCUGGGGCCACGUGGCUGUUCUAGAGAAGGAAGACAGCACUACCCUGAGAGCCAUGCUGGUGGCUUCAUCAGGAAGGGAGUCAGCAGGGGGAGGACUGGGGGACCAAGCGGUCCCUAAGAAGCAGAAUUUGCAAUACCCAAGGUUUUAGAAAGAGCAACCUGGCAGGGCCACUGCACAAUGAGAUCACAGACUCACCUCCCAGCUGUGAGUGCAGCUCACCCCACCUGCUCUGACCCAGGCACCGGUUAUGAAGAAGACAAGCAGCUCUACAGAGGGGCCUCAAGAAAUCCUUCGAAACAGAAAUCAAAGUCUUGCUGGAAGGGUUCUGGGCACCCUGGACUGUCCACAUGGGAGGCUGUUGGUGCGUGUGCCUACGUGUGUCCAUCAGUGGAUGCACGAAGAAGGAAAUGAAUUGAUUCCAUUCUUGAUGUGACUUUCAGCUGUCAGCUGUCUGCACUCCCAGACGGGGUGAUGGCCUGGCACCAACGGAGCAUUACCCUGAUGAAUCAUGGUCGAGGGAACAAUUACCACCUUGAGGAAGGAGGCCUGAAAGCUAAGUCUUUGCUAUUGCAUCCGCCUUCUUCUCACGAAGACCUGCAGCUUGAAAGGAGGGGAGGGAGAAAUAGCCCUAAGCUCCAGGAAGACCAAGCCCAGCCUCUGUGAUGAUUCCGAGGAAAUUCAGGAAAUCCUUGCUAAUGGCCAAACUUCCCGGGUUUGAGAUGCAAAAGGAAAUCAGAUCGCAGGGUAAUGCUUUUACACUAAGCAAGAAAUUGCAGGAUAUAAAGCUGUGCAGACCAUUGCCUCUGAUUAAGAAAGCGAUUCUGAGAUUCCAGCCUGGAAGGAACCGGGCCCCAGUGUUAACUGUGGUUAAUUCUGGGUGGAGGGGUGAUGGGUGAUAAUUUCUCCUUUUUCUUUUCUGUACUAACCAUUAAUACUGGGGGGAUGGGCAGUUAAAAAUCAAAGGAAGAAAACAUAAAGAAAGCCAAAUCCUUUUCCAUCUGUAGCCAUUCAAGCUACUGCCUGGACACGCUCUCCUUGAAGCUGGGGCUCCUCUCUCAGCCCCACCUAACAUGGCCCACCUCCUUCCUGGGGUCACUCCGUGUUCCUCAAGCACUUCAAACUCAUCCUCUCCUGCCUCUGAGCUGAGCAUAUGGGCCUCUCCCCUUCCUUUAAAAGCUCCAUCCGUGACUGCCUUCUGGGGGUCAGCCACAUAGCUGAGUGAGGACCACAUGCUUCACACCAAAUGAUACAAGAAGCUUGUUCCAAAUCUAUGUGGGUUUUUUGACAUUUUAGAGAGCAGAUGCUUUCCCAUGCUUUCUAAUUCCCUAUUACAUCUAUACAUCUCUUUUAAAAGAUCCUGCAAGUCCUUUUAGUGUCUGGACACAGGUUAUUCCCUCCCUUUCUUUUUUCCCAAUUUCACCUGCCCCAGUCCUCCUGGUCAGUGCUUCUGUUUCCUGCACAAGGAAACAGCCUUGCAAACAUGGUGAACCCUGAAAGCAUGCUGGAAAUGAAAGAAGCCAGGUACAAAAGACAACAUACUAUAUGAUUUCAUUCACAAGAAAUGUGUGUAACAGAAAAAUUUACAGAGACAGAAAAUAAAUUCCUAGUUGCUUAGGGCUGGGAGAGUGGGGUGAGGCCUCUCUACAGAGAUGGCAAUGCCCAGGAUUCAAUCUGAAGAUGUUGUUUAGAUAUCACAGCAUAGUCGGACAAUAGUGAGGACAGUCUGGCAUUGGCGUACAGAUGAACAAAUAGAUUUGUGCAAUAGAAGAAGCCAAACCAGAUUCCAGCCUACCUCCAGUCACCUGAUUUAACAAAGUCAAAGUCACAAAUCAAUAGGGAGAGGAUGGUCUUUUCAGUAAAUGAUACCGUAUCAAUUGACUCGUCAUAUACAGAACAAAAUGAACUUUGGUCCCAUACACACACAAGUCAUAAAAGUUCACUCAAAGUGAAUGAUAGACCUACAUUUGAAAACAAAAGCAAUGCAGGAUCCAGGAGAAAGGGUCCAGGCAGGAGAAUAUUUUUAUGACCUUGGACUAAGCAAGAGAUUCAUAAACAGGACACAAAACCACUAACCACCAAAAAAAAGGACUGAUAAACAUGACAAUUAAAAUGAAGAAUUUAU